rnacentral:rRNA from 1 species
AUGCAGACACUCCAUUUUCCUAACAAGACAUACAGCAAGAUAUUGCACAUACCUUCCCUUGGCCUAGCUCUUGUGCUGCUGAUAUGCUUGGCCUCUCCUACCAGUUCCUGCACGGAGCAGGAGAAGGACUCCCUUCUCCAGUUUCUCGGCGGGCUCUCACAACACGGUGGCCUCGAUGCGUCCUGGCAGCAUGGCACGGCUUGCUGCCAGUGGGAAGGGAUCACCUGCAGCACAGAUGGGAUUGUUACGGAUAUCUUGCUGGCUUCUAGGAGUCUUCAGGGGCACAUCACACCUUCUCUUGGGAACCUCACUGGAUUGCUGCGCCUCAACCUGUCAAACAAUCUGCUAUCUGGUGGUGUACCACAGGAACUGGUAUCCUCCAGAAGCAUCCUCAUCGUAGACGUCAGCUUUAACCGUCUCAGAGGAGACCUACACGAGUUGUCAUCUACCCAUGCCCGGCCACUGAAGGUACUGAACAUCUCAAGCAAUUUGUUUACAGGACAGUUUCCGUCCUCAACAUGGCAGGUGAUGAAGAAUCUGGUUGCACUCAAUGCCAGCAACAACAGCUUUACUGGGCAGCUACCAACUCAUUUUUGUGCCAGCUCGCCAUCUUUGGCAGUGCUUGAACUCUGCUACAAUCAAUUCAGAGGGAGCAUUCCCCCUGAAUUUGGUAGCUGCUCCAUGCUCAGAGUGCUCAAGGUUGGCCACAACCGCCUCAGUGGGACUCUCCCAGAUGAACUUUUCAAUGCUACCUUGUUAGAAUAUGUCUCCUUCCCCGGGAACGGUUUACAAGGAACACUUGAAGGCUCACAUAUUGGGAAACUCAGUAAUCUGAGUACUCUUGAUCUUGGAGAGAACAGCAUCACUGGCAAGAUUCCAGAAUUUAUAGGUCAUCUAAAGAGAUUAGAGGAACUCCGUUUAAACAACAACCUCAUGUAUGGGGAGCUGCCAUCGACUCUGAACAACUGCACAAAUCUCAUAACCAUUGACUUCAAGAACAACAAUUUCAGUGGAGAACUCGCCAAGGUUAAUUUCUCCAACCUACCCUAUCUAAAAACUUUAGAUCUUAGGAACAACAGCUUCAGAGGCAAAAUUCCGGAAAGCAUCUACUCCUGCAGCAAUCUAACUGCACUUGGGCUAUCUUUCAAUAAUUUCCAUGGCCAGCUGUCAGAAAAAAUAGGCAACCUGAAGUACCUCUCAUUCCUAUCACUUGUUAAAAACAAUCUUACAAAUAUCACAAGUGCACUUCAUCUACUUAGGAGCUCCAAGAAUCUCACCACCCUUCUUAUUGGGCUCAACUUCAUGAAAGAGACCAUGCCAGAUGAUGACAGAAUUGCCGGUUUUGAGAAUCUUCAAGUUCUAGCAAUAGCAGGUUGCUCAUUGUUGGGAAAAAUACCCCAUUGGCUAUCAAAGCUAGAAAAGUUGGAGAUAUUAUUUUUACAAGACAAUCAGCUAACAGGGCAGAUACCUGACUGGGUCAGUAGCCUAAAAUUCCUCUUCUAUCUAGACAUAUCAAAUAACAGCAUGAUGGGGGAAAUCCCAACAACCUUAAUGCAGAUACCAAUGCUAAGAUCAGAUAAUACUGCAACCCAUUCGGACCUCAGAUUCUUUGAGUUACCAAUUUAUCUAGCUCUGUCACUUCAAUACCGCGUACCAAUGGCUUUCCCUAAAGUACUGGAUCUAAGUAGCAAUAAAUUUAGUGGUAAGAUACCCUUGGAGAUUGGUCAGUUGAGAGCCCUCUGUUCACUCAAUUUCAGCUUCAAUGACUUGACAGGACAAAUCCCACAAUCAUUAUCCAAUCUCACAAGCCUGCAGGUAUUAGACUUGUCGACCAACAACCUCACAGGUGGAAUCCCAACUGCAUUGAACAGCCUGCAUUUCCUGUCAGCAUUCAACAUUUCUAACAAUGACCUAGAAGGGCCUAUUCCAUCUGGAGCUUCACCACCUCUGAUCCACUCAAAACUACGACAUAGGAAGGCCCUUUUUGCAAUCACAUUUGGAGUGUUCUUUGGAAGCAUUGCUGUUCUCUUGUUGCUGGGGCGUCUCCUUGUCUCGAUCAGAGUCAAUGGUUUUACCACCAAAAAUACAAGGGAGAAGAACAAUGGAGAUGCCGAAUCAACUUCAUUCAACUCCAGUUCAGAGCAAACAUUGGUAGUGAUGUCACGAGGCAAGGGAGAAGAAAGCAAGCUCAAAUUCACUGACAUUUUGAAAGCUACAAACAAUUUUGACAAGGAGAACAUCAUUGGUUGUGGAGGUUAUGGAUUAGUAUACAAGGCAGAGCUACCUGAUGGCUCCAAGCUGGCAAUCAAAAAGCUCAACAGUGAAAUGUGUCUUAUGGAAAGAGAGUUCAGUGCAGAGGUUGAUGCUCUUUCCAAUGCACAACAUGAAAAUAUUGUGCCGCUGUGGGGUUACUGCAUCCAGGGAAACUCAAAGCUCCUCAUAUAUUCCUACAUGGAAAACGGCAGCCUGGAUGAUUGGCUUCAUAACAGGGAUGACGAAGCUAGCUCAUGGCUUGACUGGCCAACUCGGCUGAAGAUCGCGCAAGGAGCAAGCCUUGGCCUUUCCCAUAUCCAUGAUGUCUGCAAGCCUCAGAUUGUCCACCGUGACAUCAAAUGCAGUAAUAUCUUACUGGACAAAGAAUUUAAAGCUUAUGUUGCAGAUUUUGGGCUAGCCAGAUUGAUCCUUCCCAACCAAACUCAUGUUACGACUGAGCUGGUCGGUACUAUGGGUUACAUUCCCCCUGAGUAUGGGCAAGCAUGGGUUGCUACGUUGAGAGGUGAUAUGUACAGUUUUGGAGUAGUCAUGCUUGAGCUGCUCACUGGAAUACGACCUGUCUCAAUCCUAUCAACGUCAAAAGAACUUGUCCCAUGGGUGCUGGAGAUGAGGUCUGAGGGGAAGCAGGUUGAGGUCCUGGAUCCAACACUUCGAGGCACAGGAUGUGAAGAUCAAAUGUUAAAGGUGCUUGAAGCUGCUUCCAAAUGUGUCGACCACAAUCAAUUCAUGAGGCCAACCAUCAUGGAAGUUGUCUCCUGCCUGGCCAGUAUAGAUGCUGACCCGCAGAUGCGAAAAUCAGCCAAGAUACAAUAA